ACUGCUCAGUAACACGUGGAUAACCUGCCCUAUUGUCUGGAAUAACCUCGGGAAACUGAGAACAAGGCCGGAUAGCCCACAAUGCCUGGAACGGUUUGUGGGUGAAGAUAGGAUGGGUCUGCGGCGUAUCAGGCUGUAGGGGGUGUAAUGGACCUCCUAGCCAUCGACGCGUACGGGUGUUGGGAGACAUAGCCCGGAGAUGGAUUCUGAGACACGAAUCCAGACCCUACGGGGUGCAGCAGGCGCGAAAACUUCACACUGCAGGAAACUGUGAUGAGGGAACUUCAAGUGCUAUCACUAUGUGGUAGCUUUUCUUGACUAUUAAUCGGUCAUGGAAUAAGGGCUGGGAAAGACCGGUGCCAGCCGCCGCGGUAAUACCGGCAGCUCAAGUGGUCGUCGCUUUUAUUGGGCCUAAAACGUCCGUAGCCUGUUUGGUAAAUCUGUGGGUAAAUCAACCAGCUUAACUGGUUGAAUUCUGCAGAGACUGCCAGACUAGGGACCGGGAGAGGUGUGGGGUACUCUAGGGGUAGGGGUAAAAUCCUGUCAUCCUUAGAGGACCACCAGUUGCGAAGGCGCCACACUGGAACGGAUCCGACGGUCAGGGACGAAGCCUAGGGGCACGAACCGGAUUAGAUACCCGGGUAGUCCUAGGUGUAAACGCUGUGAACUUGGUGUCGGGGAUCCGUAAUGGGUCCUCGGUGCCGGAGUGAAGAUGUUAAGUUCACUGCCUGGGGAGUACGGUCGCAAGGCUGAACUCAAAGGAAUUG
rnacentral:rRNA from 1 species